rnacentral:lncRNA from 1 species
GGUGCCGGUGGAACGAAAGCCUUCGGAGGAGUUAGCGAAAUUCCAAUGUGUGCGGAUCGGCAAAAAAUGCGAAAUAACCCUUUAACCGUACAUUUGACAGAUACGCCCGCACUGACUUUUUUGUAGAUCUUAUUGAGAUACAUGUGUGUGUCAAUUUUUGUGUCAUUUUGACAAAGCGUACAGGCGUGACAGUGAAUAGUGUGAAUUUUCACCUUAGGGGGCGCUAUGGAGCCAUUUUGCAUUUUAUUGUUUGGGCGACUUCAGAAUAUCAAAUUUUUCACCAGGCCCGGUCGUCCUGCCAAAUUUCAUGAGUUUUCGCCAGUGGGAAGUGGGCCAUUUUCCAGUUCAAAGGGGAGGAAAAAUAAUAAUAAUAACAAAAGAAGGAAACUACAGGAACAAGAGGGCUCUCGCAGCUGCUUAGCAGCUACGCUCGGGCCCUAACUAGGGCCCCGGUGGGGCACUGUCGGGCCCGAGCCGCGUCGUGCCGCCCCCAGCGUGACCGCCUACCCCUCCCGAUCGCGUCACACUCAAGGUCCAAAGAUGGUGUGCGCACUUGUCUGUGGUCAUUUCCCAUUAUAAUGAAUGGGAGGCGCAGUUUCUACCAAAACACUCGCUGCAGACAAACUUCAUGUCCUAUUUGAAAAAAGUCUGGACCAUGAGUGAGGGCACAAACACAGCUGGGAUAUAUCCAAAUGGCAGGUUGCUCCUCCUUACGGUGUUGCCUGGAGAGCGAUGCGAUUGAGCCAUUGAGCGAUGGGCAGGAAAAACUUGACUUUUUCUCCUGCCAUGGGGGAGAAUGUGGAUUCUUUUAAGAAUGUGGAUUUUUUGGUCAUCUUUGGCGCCCCCUAGAACGUAAACCGUGGGGUGCAGCGUCAUGAUUUUUACAACUUUGAAUGGCCAUGGGGUGUAGAUUGGCCUGAGCAAAUUUGGUGUCAGUGGGACGAAAGCCUUAGGAGGAGUUAGUCACAUUCCAAUGUGUGCGAAUCGGCAAAAAAUGCAAAAUAGCCCUCUAACCGUACAUUUGACAGAUACGCACCCAUUGACUUUUUCGUAGAUCUUAUUGAGAUACACGUGAUUGUCAAAUUUUGUGUCAAUAUGACAAAGCGUACAGGUGUCACACUCAACAAUGUGAAUUUUCACCUUACGGGACAAGAAAAAAUGGACUUUUUUCUCCUGCCAUGGGGGGCGCUCUUUUGGGGAGUAAAAAUUCCUUCACAAAUGUGUUGAUGGCUGGACAUUGCAUUAUCCUAGAAAACUUGGAGGCCAGUGAGGACAAAAAUAAAAAGUUAUAAGACUUUGAAAUAUGUGGAUUUUAGGGUUAUCUUUGGCGCCCCCUAGAACCUAAACCGUGGGGUGCAGCGUCAUGAUUUGAAUAACUUUUAAUGGCCAUGGGGUGUAGAUUGGCCUGAGCAAAUGUGGUGCCGGUGGAAAGAAAGCCUUCGGAGGAGUUAGCGAAAUUCCAAUGUGUGCGGAUCGGCAAAAAAUGCGGAAUAACCCUUUAACCGUACAUUUGACAGAUACGCCCGCACUGACUUUUUUGUAGAUCUUAUUGAGAUACAUAUGUGUGUCAAUUUUUGUGUCAUUUUGACAAAGCGUAAAGGCGUGACAGUCAAUAGUGUGAAUUUUCACCUUAGGGGGCGCUAUGGAGCCAUUUUGCAUUUUCUUGUUUGGGCGACUUCGGAAUAUCAAAUUUUUCACCAGGCCCGGUCAUCCAUCCAAAUUUCAUGAGUUUUCGCCAGUGGGAAGUGGGCCAUUUUCCAGUUCAAAGGGGAGGAAAAAGAAGAAAGAAAGAAACAAAGAAAAACCUCUUGGGGAAUAAUAGGGCUCUCGCAGCUGCUUAGCAGCUACGCUCGGGCCCUAACUAGGGCCCCGGUGGGGCACUGUCGGGCCCGAGCCGCGUUGCGCCGCCCCCAGCGCGACCGCCUCCCCCUCCCGAUCGCGUCACACUCAAGGUCCAAAGAUGGUGUGCGCACUUGUCUGUGGUCAUUUCCCAUUAUAAUGAAUGGGAGGCGCAGUUUCUACCAAAACACUCGCUGCAGACAUACUACAUGUCCUAUUUGAAAAAAGUCUGGACCAUGAGUGAGGGCACAAACACAGCUAGGAUAUAUCCAAACGGCAAGUUGCUCCUUGUUACGGUGUUGCCGGGAGAGUGAUGCGAUUGAGCCAUUGAGUGAUGGGCAGGAAAAACUUGACUGUUUCUCCUGCCAUGGGGGUUGGGGGAUGGGGGGGAUGUGGAUUCUUUUAAGAAUGUGGAUAUUUGGGUCAUCUUUGGCGCCCCCUAGAACGUAAACCGUGGGGUGCAGCGUCAUGAUUUUUACAACUUUGAAUGGCCAUGGGGUGUAGAUUGGCCUGAGCAAAUUUGGUGUCAGUGAGACGAAAGCCUUAGGAGGAGUUAGCCACAUUCCAAUGUGUGCGAAUCGGCAAAAAAUGCAAAAUAGCCCUUUAACCGUACAUUUUACAGAUACGCGCGCAUUGACUUUUUCGUAGAUCUUAUUGAGAUACAUGUGAUUGUCAAAUUUUGUGUCAAUAUGACAAAGCGUACAGGUAUGACAGUCAACAAUGUGUUUUUUCACCUUAUGGGACAAGAAAAAAUGGACUUUUUUCUCCUGCCAUGGGGGGGCGCUCUUUUGGGGAGUAAAAAUUCCUUCACAAAUGUGUUGAUGGCUGGACAUUGCAUCAUCCUAGAAAACUUGGAGGCCAGUGAGGACAAAAAUAAAAAGUUAUAAGACUUUGAAAUAUGUGGAUUUUAGGGUUAUCUUUGGCGCCCCCUAGAACCUAAACCAUGGGGUGCAGCGUCAUGAUUUGAAUAACUUUUAAUGGCCAUGGGGUGUAGAUUGGCCUGAGCAAAUGUGGUGCCGGUGGAACGCCAGCCUUAGGAGGAGUUAGCGAAAUUCCAAUGUGUGCGGAUCAGCAAAAAAUGCGGAAUAACCCUUUAACCGUACAUUUGACAGAUACGCGCGCAUUGACUUUUUCGUAGAUCUUAUUGAGAUA